CGAAUGAUGAUAACCUAAAUAAUAAUCUCUUGCUGAUUCCUUUUGAUAUUCCGUUCUGGAAUAUUGGGGGAUACUCUGUGACUCUUUAUUCAUAGUUACUCUGACU
rnacentral:snoRNA from 14 species